UUUCUUUCCUUUCCUUCCUUCCUUCCUUCUUUCUUUAAGUACAUUUAGCAGUUGUUUAGCAGGGUAUGUGUAACCUACGGUGGCCCUGAAGUGCAAAUCACAACAACAAAUCAUAAAACACAACGACAAAUCAUAAAACACAACAGCAAAUCAUAAAACACAACAACAAAUCGAAAACACUUCAACAAAUCAUGAAACACAACGGCAAAUAGGAAAACUCAACGGCAAAUACAAAACACUUCAACAAAUCAUGAAACACAACGACAUUAACUUCUAACGGAAAAGGUAGGGCCUAUCUAGCAGAGGACGGAACCUCCUGAUUGGACAGACACACUGUCUGUCUUUUAACAGGAAAUGAGUACUCUCACGCUUGCUAGGCAGACCUCCCUUCGCAGAAGAAGCUUGCUAGACCUCAUCCUUUCAUUCGGCGCCAACAUUAAUAAAGGAUGUUUUGCCGUCAUUGUGGGAAAAAGUUGUUAGAGAACAAGCCACAUUUUUGCAGUGGUUGUGGCGAGAGACUCGGAGAAAGUCUUGAAACAACGUCUUUGGCUCAACCCACCGAUGGACCAACUUCAGUAUCCCAGAAUCCUCCUUCCAACCCAACCCCAAGAUUAAAAACCUUUCUGGAAUACCGGAAGAAAAAAGCAGAGGAAAGACAAAAUUUCUCCUUUGGUAAAAUGCGGGAAAAGAAAAAGGAAAAAAGGAAAGUGCAG
ensembl:lncRNA